rnacentral:rRNA from 1 species
CACGUGGGCAACCUGCCCCUAGCACUGGGAGUAACCCGGGGAAACCCGGGCUAAUACCGGAUAUCACUUCGGACCGCAUGGUCCGGGGUUGAAAGGACUCUGGCUAGGGAUGGGCCCGCGGCCUAUCAGCUUGUUGGUGGGGUAACGGCCCACCAAGGCGACGACGGGUAGCCGGCCUGAGAGGGCGACCGGCCACACUGGGACUGAGACACGGCCCAGACUCCUACGGGAGGCAGCAGUGGGGAAUAUUGCGCAAUGGGCGAAAGCCUGACGCAGCAACGCCGCGUGAGGGACGACGGC